AUUAGCUCAGUUGGUAGAGCAGUUGACUUUUAAUCAAUUGGUCGAUGGUUCAAAUCCAU
rnacentral:tRNA from 1 species